rnacentral:rRNA from 1 species
UACGUAGGGUCCGAGCGUUGUCCGGAAUUACUGGGCGUAAAGAGCUCGUAGGUGGUUUGUCGCGUUGUUCGUGAAAACUCACAGCUCAACUGUGGGCGUGCGGGCGAUACGGGCAGACUAGAGGCAGGUAGGGGAGAAGUGGAAUUCCGGAUGUAGCGGUGAAAUGCGCAGAUAUCGGGAGGAACACCGGUGGCGAAGGCGGGUCUCUGGGCCGAAAUUGACGCUGAGGAGCGAAAGCGUGGGGAGCAAACAGG